rnacentral:rRNA from 1 species
GGAUGCGAUCAUACCAGCACUAACACACCG